rnacentral:lncRNA from 1 species
UGUCUAUGGCCAGUUAGGGGUCGACUCAUUUGCUUCUAGGGUGAACUCUUCUCUAACUGAAGUCGACUCGUGAUCUUUAUAAGUCGACUCGCCAAUAUGCUGAAUUUUAUGGUUCUUUGUCCUUCUUCUGAUACUAUUCUGGGAUCGACUUUUUUGCUUUUGGAGUCCACUCGUAAAAGCGUAUCAGUCUAUAUCAGUGUGCCAGGAUCGACUCAUCGAAUUUCAAGGGUCCACUCGUGAGAUAGCCCAAGUUGAAAUUUAUUGUCAUUGCAUGUAAGUGUCAAGCGUUACUUCAAGGUAUUUUUGGAGUCGAAACUCUUUGUGGAGAGCUUUAGAUAGCUAAGUUCCAUUUCUCCAUAUUUGAGAGUUACAGAAAGAUGUGUUCUUGGUUUCUGCAAAUAUUCUAAUACACUCCAAGGAACUGAUUAGUGAACUUUUUACUCAAUUGUUUCGUAUCAACAAAAAAUCAAUUCCUUUUAGUCAACAGAUAGAAACAAGGUCUAGCACAUCAUUCAAACUAUCAGUUGAUAUUCUCGAGCAUGGAUUCAUUAAAACAAUUCAGUUUUACUCCUUGGAAAGUUCAUUCCAAUGCAAAAUUGUUAGUCGCUUAGGAAGGUCUAAAAGCAACCACUACCUUGUUGGGAACCACUUAGUAUUGGGAGUUUUAAAAACAUAUUAUAUUUUUUUCUUUACAAUGUCAUUUAGAGUUCUGAAGUUGCACUGCAACUCAAGUUGUAUUGCAUUUUAGGUUACAAAAGUUGACUUACAGGAAAGCUCAUCCCUCGUGUUUAGAAGAGAUUUGGUAAAAAUGAGGAAUGAAAUAGGAAAGACGGAGAGGAGAGGGGGUGUGGUCAUACCCGGUGAUCAUGGUGGUUGAUGUGGACGAUGUGGUCGAUGCAACCAUGACUUUCACUAAAGUUCUCUUGAAAAGAUGGAGCUCAUGUUGCCGAUCUUGGUAUUGGAGAUAAUUAAAGAAGUCCAAGUUAUGGCAUCUCUAGUAGACUUUCCAUCGAACAUCAUGCGAGCAGACAUUAGGUUGAACACUCAACAUACAUGAAGAUAAGGGUGUUCUAGAUGAAGAGGUCAGCAUUGAAGCUGUUGGUGGU